rnacentral:rRNA from 1 species
UACGUAGGGUGCAAGCGUUGUCCGGAAUUAUUGGGCGUAAAGAGCUCGUAGGCGGUCUGUCGCGUCUGCUGUGAAAACUCAGGGCUUAACCCUGAGCUUGCAGUGGGUACGGGCAGACUAGAGUGCGGUAGGGGAGACUGGAAUUCCUGGUGUAGCGGUGAAAUGCGCAGAUAUCAGGAGGGAACACCCGGUGGGCGAAGGCGGGUCUCUGGGCAGUAACUGACGCUGGAGGAGCGGAAAGCCGUGGGGAGCGAACAGG